rnacentral:piRNA from 1 species
UGAAAAAACAAAUGGAGACUAUAGAUU